GACGAACGCUGGCGGCGUGCUUAACACAUGCAAGUCGUACGGUAAGGCCCUUUCGGGGGUCCACGAGUGGCGAACGGGUGAGUAACACGUGAGUAACCUGCCCACAACUUUGGGAUAACGCUAGGAAACUGGUGCUAAUACUGGAUAUGUGCUCCUGCUGCAUGGUGGGGGUUGGAAAGCUCCGGCGGUUGUGGAUGGACUCGCGGCCUAUCAGCUUGUUGGUGGGGUAGUGGCCUACCAAGGCGGCGACGGGUAGCCGGCCUGAGAGGGUGACCGGCCACAUUGGGACUGAGAUACGGCCCAGACUCCUACGGGAGGCAGCAGUGGGGAAUAUUGCACAAGGGGCGCAAGCCGGAUGCAGCAACGCCGCGUGCGGGAGGACGGCCUUCGGGUUGGAAACCGCUUUCAGCAGGGACGAAGCUUUUUGUGACGGUACCUGCAGAAGAAGCACCGGCUAACUACGUG
rnacentral:rRNA from 1 species